rnacentral:lncRNA from 1 species
GUGUAAUCAAACUAGCAUUUUGUAAUAACUCCCUUUUUUACCAUACCUUUGCCUUGCAUAAGAUACUUCUGAUGGUUUCUUUAUUACUGUAUUUGAACUAAGACUUAAAGUGCUUUAGUUCUAGAAUAUAUACACCUUAUAAUAAACACACAGUUGUGGGGAGAUAAAAAAAAAAAAAAAACGCAUCUCAGUCCAGGCAUUACUCAGUGCUGCGAAAUUAUCGAAAUGAAUCGACAAGUUUUGAGGGAAAUGAAUUGCAAUACCUAUAUGGUCCAGGAGGAGGCGCCCUUACUCUAUAGCUUCGUAGUGGUUUAGGUUGCAGGAACGGUGUCAUGCAGCCUUCCUGUCAGCGUCGCAUUUUCCCAGAAAACUGGUAUCGUUUGUAAACUUCGUGCCCUUAGACUUGUGCUAACUUGUCUGUCACAGCAAUACAUUUCAUCACUAAAGCAUGGCUUGUUUUCAGAAUUAAACAUCACAAAGCUGUAGUGAGCACAAAUGAGAUGACCGACGGUAUAGCUCAAGAGAUCGGAGCCGAAAUCAGUGUGAUAAUUUAGGACCAACCCCUUUCUGGAUGACUGCUUUCUCAAAAAGGGUGAUUAAUGAGAAAAGCAAACUCCCCAACUUUACCUGCCUCAGUCAGAGAUAUGACCCCUGGAGGGAUCCAACGGUUUGAAAAAGCUGGACAAUGAUAUGAUAUAUGUAUUUUUCAUCGACCAUUUAUCGCCCACAUUUAUUAAUGUGCUUUUUCUGCAAACUCCACCAAAGAACCCUGACCGAGAUGCCCUGUCUGCCAGUCACAUGCUCUGACAGAACCAAUCCAAAAGGUACAUCCCAUUUGUACCAGGAGGCAUGGUGGGCUUGGCCAGUACCCACCGUGUGCCGGGUCUGGGGUUCGAGCCCUGCUUCAGGUGCCUUGCGGCAGACUGGCAUCCCAUUCUGGAUGUGUCCCCUCCCCCUUCGUCCCCGCGCUUCGUGUUGCCAGGUUAGGCUCCGGCUCGCCGUGACCCUGCCUGGGACAAGUGGUUGUAGACGUUGGUUGGUUGUACCUGAUAAGUUGCACAAAGGAAAACAACAGGUACUUCCUUGACCCCACUAGGGAAACAGAGCAAACAUCAAAACAACAUGAGGUUCGAACUCACAACCUUGAUAUUAAGAGUCUAAUGCGGUAUAGGUUGAACUAGCCAGACUUGAAAGAAUACUAACUUUAAAAAAAUACUCUUAUGUACAGUAUAUUACAUAAAUUAAGAUUUAAACACUUUUUCAGGAAGUUUGACAAACGCUAAGUUAAAAAAAAAUUCCCUCUAAACUGUCAUCUGUCAGUAUUUUACAGUCAAUAUUACAUGGCUGUCGUCCCCCGGAACAAGUGGAUCGGCAACACCUGUCUCUAGUCAAUGAGACCCAGGAAAUAAGGAGCUCCGUGACAACGACACGAUGCGGAUUCUUGCAAUCGCCUUCGCGCCCUUGCAGUCUCGGCGUCUUUGCUCUUUGUGUCUUGCCUGCUCUCCUGUUUUGAUCUUUGCCUGUUCUCUACGACAACGACUUUGGAUUGCCUGCAUGGUAACGUUCACGCCCGGAAAGACCUUCGGCUGCUCCUGACCUGGAUCUUGUCUCGUCCUUCAAACCUGGUUGUAUGAAUAAAACCAACCCGCG